GACGAACGCUGGCGGCGUGCUUAACACAUGCAAGUCGUACGAUGACCCGGCUCUUCGGAGCUGGUGAUAAUGGCCAACGGGGGGGUAAACAGGUGGGGGACUGCCCUUCCAUCUGGGGUUAACCCGGGGAAAUGGGGCUAAUAAUGGGUACGACCAAUGGCCGCCUGGUCUUCCGGGGGGAAAGCCUUCCGGGGGGGGUGGGGUGGGCCCGCGGCCUAUCAGCUUGUUGGUGGGGUGAUGGCCUACCAAGGCGACGACGGGUAGCCGGCCUGAGAGGGUGUCCGGCCACACUGGGACUGAGACACGGCCCAGACUCCUACGGGAGGCAGCAGUGGGGAAUCUUGCACAAUGGGCGAAAGCCUGAUGCAGCGACGCCGCGUGAGGGAUGACGGCCUUCGGGUUGUAAACCUCUUUCGGCAGGGAACAAGCCUGGGGGUUUUCUUCUGGGUGAGGGUACCUGCGGAAGAAGCACCGGCUAACUACGUG
rnacentral:rRNA from 1 species